UGGGUUUGACAUACGCGGGAAGCUCCCAGAGAUGGGGGUCUCUUUGAUACUCGUGUACAGGUGGUGCAUGGCUGUCGUCAGCUCGUGUCGUGAGAUGUUGGGUUAAGUCCCGCAACGAGCGCAACCCUCGUUCCAUGUUGCCAGCAGGCCCUUCGGGGUGCUGGGGACUCAUGGGAGACUGCCGGGGUCAACUCGGAGGAAGGUGGGGAUGACGUACGGAAUGUCGAUA
rnacentral:misc_RNA from 1 species